rnacentral:rRNA from 1 species
UACGUAGGGUGCGAGCGUUGUCCGGAUUUAUUGGGCGUAAAGAGCGUGUAGGCGGCUAGAUAGGUCCGUUGUGAAAACUCGAGGCUCAACCUCGAGACGUCGAUGGAAACCAUCUGGCUAGAGUCCGGAAGAGGAGAGUGGAAUUCCUGGUGUAGCGGUGAAAUGCGCAGAUAUCAGGAAGAACACCCGUGGCGAAGGCGGCUCUCUGGUACGUGACUGACGCUGAGACGCGAAAGCGUGGGGAGCGAACAGG